AGCAGCCGCGGUAAUUCCAGCUCCAAUAGCGUAUAUUAAAGUUGUUGCAGUUAAAAAGCUCGUAGUUGAAUUUCGGGGUUAGUAGGUUGGUCAUGCCUCUGGUAUGUACUGGUCUCACUGACUCCUCCUUCCUGACGAACCGUAAUGCCAUUAAUUUGGUGUUGCGGGAAAUUUGGACUGUUACUUUGAAAAAAUUAGAGUGUUUAAAGCAAGCUAACGCUUGAAUACAUUAGCAUGGAAUAAUGAAAUAGGACGUUCGAUCCUAUUUUGUUGGUUUCUAGGAUUGACGUAAUGAUUAAUAGGGAUAGUUGGGGGCAUUAGUAUUCAAUUGUCAGAGGUGAAAUUCUUGGAUUUAUUGAAGACUAACUGCUGCGAAAGCAUUUGCCAAGGAUGUUUUCAUUAAUCAAGAACGAAAGUUAGGGGAUCGAAGACGAUCAGAUACCGUCGUAGUCUUAACCAUAAACUAUGCCGACUAGGGAUCGGAUGAUGUUAAUUUUUAAUGACUCAUUCGGCGCCUUAA
rnacentral:rRNA from 1 species